CCUGCCAGUACUGGUUAGGCAAAGUGUACUUGUAGCCAUUAGUAGUCCAGUCUGCUUAUCGGGCUCAAUCUGUUUCUAAUGGCAACCUUUGCAGUGACAGCAUUGUUCCCAUCUGUGCUCACAUGAGAGGUUUUAAAUCUUAGCUUUUAAAGUUCUGAAAUAACCUUACAGACACAAUUAUUUACUUUCUUAGGAAUUCUUCCAGCUGGUGUACAGCAACCCGGUGUACCUGCAACAAGCAAGCUGGCCCCUACCUUCUGCCCAGCAAGCCAAAUAACAGUUAGCCAGUAUUGCCUCUAAGUACAACAGAUAACAUUGACUUGGUAUCUUAAAUUUGUUCUCUUAAACUACCCACAGUUCUCCUAUCCAUAUAAUAAACGAUGGCUCUACUUCUCCUUCUCGGAGCGAGCUGAUCUACUAAGACUGAGACAGCAGCAAUGUUUGGAGAAGUCAGAAGAGAAAGAGGAAAACUCUGAGUCCUGAGGUGUCUGUAGAACAACUGAUUACACAAAAUGCAUUUCGCAAGCACCUUCUCUCAUGAUCACCUGAGCUCAUGAGAAACUAAGGAAGGAUCAUAAAGAUGUUGGUUGGAAGGAGCCCCAACCUGACGCUUGGAGCAGGACUUAGACCAGUAGUAGCUCAAGUUCAGCCUAUUGUACGCAAAUAGCCGUUAAGCAUGUAUCCUCCAAACCAGACUUACUGUCAUUCCAGAGCACCAUCUGGGAUGGAACUUGCAAAUCAAACAUCUUAAGGAAAAAUGGGCAGAUAAUACAAGAAUGUGACUUGUAACUGGUGCCAAUUAUUACUGGUAUUGCUGCUUUGUUCCCAGGCCUGCUCACCAGGCUACAGACCCGAACCAGAGGAAAAGGAAAACAGCAUACGCUAUUCCAUUAGCAAUCCCUUAAUUUUGCCAGUGGGACACUCAGUAAUCUCACAAUGUUUCAAACCCAGUAUGUUCUCUCACUUCCUCUACCAAAACCAAAAUAUGUUGUAAGGUCACGUUUUCUAAAUUUUACAAACAGAUGUUAUUGCUCGUAUGUGAUUGUACCGCUCACCAAAUACUUUUAGGAAAACAAAAUUAGCAAGCGAUUGAUUUCUUUUCCAUAAUGAAUGUUAACAUAGUUUUCAACACGUAGUAGAUUUUUUUUUACCCCACAGUACGUUCUCUGUAUAUACAUGAAUUUAUAUUAGAAUAUAAUGGAUCACAAAUAAGUAAUUUUUUGCAAGAAUGGGAUAAUAAUAAUGUGGAAAAACCAAGAGCCAUUUAAAAACAAGUUAUAUACUCUGAGGAAAAAUAAAAGACCUAGAAAGAAGCAAACAUGUAUUUAUAUAUUCAUACAUAUUUAUAUAAAUUUUUAAAUUAAUUUUUCUAGUUCACUUGAAGAUGAUUAUGGAUAAUAUAAGCAAAUCCAGAUCAAGUUAUAUUUGAUCUUAAAUAUUCGUUUAUAGCUUUGCGUUAAAAAGAUUCCAUCCAUGAUUUCCAUUUUCUGAGUCAGUAUUAAGACUCAGUUCUAAAUUGGUCCCUUUCUUCCAAGAACCCAUAUGAGCUCAAAUAUCAAUGGUUAUCCAGAGACACUGCCUUUACAGUUAAUAAUGUAUGCAACUAAUCUUUGGCCAAAAAGAAGAAAUGGUAGAUUCUGGAUUUGACUUUUUCUUUUCUCUAAAAAUCAACCAGAAAUGCAGUCUGGUUUUCUUCACACCACAGAAGAGGCAGUUAGCCUAGUACUGAGCUUAUUUAGGUUAUCAUUACACCAGUGUCAAUGAAGAUACUCUUCUGUUACUGUGGAACCACUGAGAAGAAAAUUAGGCCAAUUUCUGCACACAGACAGCAAUGAAGGAACCAUUUAGGAAUACCACAUCUAAAUUUAAUAAAUCUAUGCCACAUAUUGCUCUGCAAUUCAGACUGAUCUCAUAUAAAUUGUAUGCCUAAAUGACAUACUAAUUCUAGAUUUGAAAAAAAAAGAAAAAGUCUUUUUUUGUGAGGGCAAACCCUGGAACAGCAAGAGUUUGAACUGGUUUUGUAAUUGUGGUAUUUCUAAAACAUGCCUACCUCCCCGCCAAGUAUUGUAGGAACAUAAUUUUUCCUAUGUAGGGGGUUGUAUAUUCAUAGAUAAGGAUCUAUAUCUGUAUAUAGAAGGGGAAGAAAGGGAGCAAAACCAAGAACGGUAUAAAAGAAACUAGACUUCUACUACCUUUGCAGCCUUAGGAUCUUGAAUAAAAGCUCUGACAGGUGUGAGAAACUAUGACACAAUACUAGUCAGAGGCUAGAUGACCUUUUUAUAUACAAUGAUUUGUAAGGCUCAUGUCACCUCGGCGUUAACGUCUGCAUUAGAUGAUCUAACCCAGACAAGUUAUUUAGGCUCCAUUAUAGUCAACAGAGGAAGAUAUGCACUUGGAAAAGGCAGUUUCAUCUUGCCCACAUUAGAGCACAGAAAAAUGUGGUCGCAGCAGCAGUGAAACACAGGAGGAAGGUACAAUCCUAACAGGAAAGUGAGAUGAUCAGCCACAGGAAGAAUGCAUGGAAAAUGGUUGCAUUAUGGUAAUGGUGUUAUAUUGAUUUUUUCAGCAUCCUGCAAAGGAAUCUUAGCAAGAUUUUUGAGGACAAAGUUGUCAUAUGUGUUCCCCCUCCAACAUCAAUUUUAUCAUUAAUUUUGAAAGGUAACUUCACAUGAAGUAACAAACCUCAUCGUUGUAUAAUUCUGAGCAUAAUGGAAAUACAAAACAUGCUGCAAAAUUAAUGUAGAUGUAAUGAAAUCACUGAAGAAACUCUCUCUUGUGGUGUAGCGGGACAGCUUCAGACAUGCCAAUUGGCUUAUAUAGGCAAGGCUAGGCACAAUUUAGCCUGACUACUUCAGUUUAUCAGUAUUAAUGUAUGAAGAGCACUGUUUGUUGUGGGAUUUAGUUGUCUCAUUUCACCCUGCAUUCACUCUCUUUUUUGUUGUUUUCCUUUUCAGUACAUUUUUUAAAAAUUUCAGUUAUCAAACUGUUCUUAUCUCAACCCAUGAGUUUUCUUACUUUUGCCCUUCCGAUGCUCUCCCCCAUCCCAGCGGGGCGGGUGAGAGAGAGGC